rnacentral:rRNA from 1 species
AGUGAACGCUGGCGGUAGGCCUAACACAUGCAAGUCGAACGGCAGCACAGUAAGAGCUUGCUCUUACGGGUGGCGAGUGGCGGACGGGUGAGGAAUACAUCGGAAUCUACUUUUUCGUGGGGGAUAACGUAGGGAAACUUACGCUAAUGCCGCAUACGACCUACGGGUGAAAGCAGGGGAUCUUCGGACCUUGCGCGAUUGAAUGAGCCGAUGUCGGAUUAGCUAGUUGGCGGGGUAAAGGCCCACCAAGGCGACGAUCCGUAGCUGGUCUGAGAGGAUGAUCAGCCACACUGGAACUGAGACACGGUCCAGACUCCUACGGGAGGCAGCAGUGGGGAAUAUUGGACAAUGGGCGCAAGCCUGAUCCAGCCAUACCGCGUGGGUGAAGAAGGCCUUCGGGUUGUAAAGCCCUUUUGUUGGGAAAGAAAAGCAGCAGGUUAAUACCCCGCUGUUCUGGCGGUACCCAAAGAAUAAGCACCGGCUAACUUCGUG